GCAAGCAUGUAAGUGACUUACAUUAGGGUAAUGAUUACUAAAUGAUUCACUCACUGGAACACUAUUCAACAAUUAAGAAGAAAAAGAUGACCACUAUGGCCCACAAUGGAGAAUUGCUUGUGAAAAUUGAGAAGCCAAAGGGGCACGGUACAAAAAUUAGACCCGUGCCCGGAUACUCAGCAAACAUAUGACUUGCCCUGGAAGCACGGGAAGGAAAGAUGGGCAAAUAAAAACAGUGUGAGUAUUACCGUGGUUUUUAUUUUCAUUUACAAUUCUGCCUAAUGUUUCCAUUGUAUUGCUUGUCUAUAAUAGUUGAAAAGUCAGCCUUAAAGUUCCCCUCAGGGAAAAGGAAGACAGCAGAACUAGAGAUCUGGGAUCUUCUACUGGGUUCUAGGUAACUAACUAUGCAUGCCGGUACAUAUAGUAUUUAUAUGAGGUACAGUGUAAAUUCUGUUUAAAGAAAUCAAAGAGUUCACUCAAUGGAGCAAUUGACGCCCAGAGUUUAGGAAGACUCAAUAUUGUCACCAAGUCAGUUCUGUUUUAGUUAGGGGUUUUGGUCCCAUAUAGCCCAUGCCAUCAUCCAAAAUGCUAUGUUGCUGAAGCUGAGCUUGAACUCAUGAGGUCCCUGGCUUCAUUUCCUUUGAGUGCAAGGACUUCGGGUGUUGGAUACCUGCCAGGCUUAUUCCACACUGGGGAUUACAUCAGUGUAUUCGAGUCAAGCCUCUAAUACCUGAGCUCCAUCCUCAGCAUAUCCACAGAAUUGUAACAGUGGUAAAUCGUCAUUCUCUCAGUGUUGGAUAUAGAACUCACGGCUGCCACAUGCUAGGCAAGCACUCUACCAUUGAGCCGCAAGACCACACCCAGCCUAGCAACGUUCAUCUCCCAUGCCUAGCUGCUCCUCUGUCCACCAUCAGCUCCACUCUGGGACCAGACUACCAUGGCAGUCUUUCUGUGUGCACAGGGCAGGUCCCUGUGCCAGAGGGACACACAGACAAUGAUCUACCCAUUACUUCUUACAACUGGGGCUAGGCUCAUCUCAUGCUCCUUCUUGGGUUUCUAGGAUCUCACCGACUCCAAGCAGUAGUAGCCAACACUGAGCAGUUAUACAACUCAGUCCUUUCACUCUGCGGCUUUCUUUGCUGAAUCAAGCAAAAGAGAAUGCAUUUCUGUUCCAGGAAAUGGAUGGCGCCACAGAAAAGGGCCAGAGUAAAAUGGAUCUUUAUCAUUAGAGCUGCUCAAAGAUGGGGUGCUUGAGUGUUGUAUCUGCAAGUACACUAUCUGCAGAUUCAAUAAAUUCCCCAUGGAGAAUUUCCAGGGGAAAACCGUU